AGUGGCAGACGGGUGAGUAACGCGUGGGAAUCUACCUAGUUCUACGGAACAACAGUUGGAAACGACUGCUAAUACCGUAUACGCCCUACGGGGGAAAGAUUUAUCGGAAUUAGAUGAGCCCGCGUAAGAUUAGCUUGUUGGUGAGGUAAAAGCUCACCAAGGCGACGAUCUUUAGCUGGUCUGAGAGGAUGAUCAGCCACACUGGGACUGAGACACGGCCCAAACUCCUACGGGAGGCAGCAGUGGGGAAUCUUGCGCAAUGGGCGAAAGCCUGACGCAGCCAUGCCGCGUGGAUGAUGAAGGUCUUAGGAUUGUGAAAUCCUUUCACCGGGGACGAUAAUGACGGUACCCGGAGAAGAAGCCCCGGCUAACUUCGUGCCAGCAGCCGCGGUAAUACGAAGGGGGCUAGCGUUGCUCGGAAUUACUGGGCGUAAAGGGAGCGUAGGCGGACAUUUAAGUCAGGGGUGAAAUCCCGGGGCUCAACCUCGGA
rnacentral:rRNA from 1 species